rnacentral:rRNA from 1 species
UACGUAGGGUGCUAGCGUUGUCCGGAAUUAUUGGGCGUAAAGAGCUCGUAGGCGGUCUGUCACGUCGGCUGUGAAAACCCGAGGCUCAACCUCGGGCCUGCAGUCGAUACGGGCAGACUAGAGUUCGGUAGGGGAGACUGGAAUUCCUGGUGUAGCGGUGAAAUGCGCAGAUAUCAGGAGGAACACCGGUGGCGAAGGCGGGUCUCUGGGCCGAAACUGACGCUGAGGAGCGAAAGCGUGGGGAGCGAACAGG